UAAAACCUAAAGGCGCAUUGAAAGAGAAAAUCGGCUUCGCGUCGAUCGAGGGAGGAUGGGCGACGUUUAAUCGCGUUGCUCCGCACUCCCGGGGCGUCUCGUUGUCAUUGCGACAUGAGGCGCACCUAGAGCGCACACGUUGGGACCCGAAAGAUGGUGAACUAUGCCUGGUCAGGAUGAAGUCAGGGGAAACUCUGAUGGAGGUCCGUAGCGAUUCUGACGUGCAAAUCGAUCGUCGGAACUGGGUA
rnacentral:rRNA from 1 species